CCCUAGUUGAGACCACUAGCAAUGGGUUCUAUGGAAUUGUGGCCUUAUUGAAGUAAGUGUGGCCUUGUGGACAGAAACGUGUCACUAUGGGGUUGAGCUUUGAAACCAUACUAACCCUACUUCUAGACAGAUGCCCAGAAGACAGUCUUCUCCUAGUUCCCUUUAGAACAAGAUAAAGUAAUCUCACCUCCUUCUUGAGCACCAUGUCUGGCUGGAUGCUGCCAUGCUUCCAACCUUGAUGAUAAUGGACUGAACCUCUGAAACUUUCUACAGUACAGAAAACCUACCAUUAUCAGGGACCAUCAGCACAGCUGGCAUGCCUGGAGACCUGCUACUACCUGGGACUACAAGACAGUUUAAGUCAACAGGACUACCAAUUCUUCCAGCAGUUCUGGAAGCCUGGUGCCACCUUGGGCAAUAAGCUCUACCCACCAUUCCAGAGGCCUGCUUCCAUUAGGACUACCAGCUCUACCAGCAGUGCCAGAGGACUACUGUUAUGAGAGACUAUCAGUUGUGCCAAAACAAGGGACAAAUUGAGGGCUAAAGACCACCAUAAGAUCACAAUCAACCAAAACCUGGGUAAUAUGGCACCAUCAGAAACAAGAUAUCCUAUUAAAGACUAGAUAUCCUAGCAUACCUGAAGCACAAAAAAAUGACCUUAAAUAUAAUCUUAGGAAGACAAUAGAGUUCUUUAAGUAGCAAAUGAAUAUAUGCCUUAAAGAAAUAGAGGAAAAUAGAGCCAAACAAGCAGAGGCCUUUAAAGAGGAAAUGAAUGUUUAUUGUGGCUAUUUGUGAAGGGUUAUUUCUCUGAUUUCUUUCUCUGCUCAUUUAUCAUUUGUAUAAAGGAAGGCUACUGUUUUCUUUUAUUUAUAAAUAAAAAUACACAGGCUAAUAGGAUCCAUCAUUUCUUGUAUGCAUCUGAUGCAUACAAGAAAUAGAAAUCAGCAGCAAAGAUGGACACUACCUCAGAGUCAAGGGCUGGGGAAAGCAUUUCCAAGCAAAUGAACCCAUGUAACAAGCUGGAAUAGCCAUUCUAGUAUCUAAUAAAUUUGACUUUCAAACAAAAGUAACCAAAA